AGCAGUGGGGAAUAUUGCACAAUGGGGGGAAACCCGUGAUGCAGCGACGCCGCGUGAGUGAAGAAGUAAUUCGUUAUGUAAAGCUCUAUCAGCAGGGAAGAAAAUGACGGUACCUGAGUAAGAAGCCCCGGCUAACUACGUGCC
rnacentral:rRNA from 1 species